rnacentral:rRNA from 1 species
UAGAGGAAGGAGAAGUCGUAACAAGGUUUCCGUAGGUGAACCUGCGGAAGGAUCAUUGUCGGUUCCUAAGAGAAUGACUUGUGAACUUGUUUGUCUCACAACAUGCAAGGGGUGGGGAGAGGAGGCCGCUUACGCAGUCGACGAUCCUCACCCCCUGUUAGGGGGCGCGCGUUCGCUCGCCUCCAUCUAAUAACAUACCCCGGCGYGAGUUGCGCCAAGGAAUCGAUGACAAAGGGCAUGCUGCUUGCUGCACCCGGCCGUCGGGAUCGUGAGCGGGCUAGGUCUGCCCUCUCAUUGCAAAUGAGUAAAUAAUGACUCUCGGCAACGGAUAUCUUGGCUCUCGCAUCGAUGAAGAACGUAGCGAAAUGCGAUACUUGGUGUGAAUUGCAGGAUCCCGUGAAUCAUCGAGUUUUUGAACGCAAGUUGCGCCCAAAGCCAUUAGGCCGAGGGCACGCCUGCCUGGGCGUCACACGUUGCGUCGCUUCUCUUUUGUGUACCACGAGAGAGGAGCGGAGAAUGGCCUUCCGUGUGCCCUUGUGGUGCGGUUGGCCUAAAUACGAGCCUUCCCAUGGUGGAGCGUCACAGCAAGUGGUGGUUUUAUAGGACACGCGCUCUGGUUGGCCUAAAGUGGUAUGCUGUGCGCGAUAGCCCUCUGCUAGGGUUGGCCUUUGGACCCAUUCUCUCGUUGCGACCCCAGGUCAGGCGGGACUACCCGCUGAGU